AUGAUCUUACGCAAUGAAGUUGGGGCUGUGGUUUUUGCGGCCUACCGAGUUAUUUUUAAUUGUAAUGAUGCACUGGAGGCAGAGAUACACACUCUUAUGCAAGGUAUGGCCCUAGCCUGUCAGCAUACGAAGCUCCCGGUAUACGUGCAGUCUGAUUCCUCGGAGGCCCUGUCCAUCUUAUCUAGUGAUUCUCUUACGCGGUCGGCAUAUGGGCACUUGGCAAUGGAAAUCAAGUUUUUGUUGGAAGGUCGGGAGUUUAUGCCCCAAAAGCUUACUAGGUCUCAGAAUAGGAUAGCACAUUGUCUGGCUAAUUACAGCCGUACUGAGUCGUGUACUGCUGUUUGGCUUCAAAGAGGUCCUCCCUGUAUUGAGGGGCUCUUGCCAGUUGAUUGUAAUCCUGUUACCUAA
rnacentral:rRNA from 1 species